AGUGAACGCUGGCGGUAGGCCUAACACAUGCAAGUCGAACGGCAGCACAGGAGAGCUUGCUCUCUGGGUGGCGAGUGGCGGACGGGUGAGGAAUACAUCGGAAUCUACUCUUUCGUGGGGGAUAACGUAGGGAAACUUACGCUAAUGCCGCAUACGACCUUCGGGUGAAAGCAGGGGACCUUCGGGCCUUGCGCGAUUGAAUGAGCCGAUGUCGGAUUAGCUAGUUGGCGGGGUAAAGGCCCACCAAGGCGACGAUCCGUAGCUGGUCUGAGAGGAGGAUCGGCCACACUGGAACUGAGACACGGACCAGACUCCGACGGGAGGCAGCAGUGGGGAAUAUUGGACAAUGGGCGCAAGCCUGAUCCAGCCAUACCGCGUGGGUGAAGAAGGCCUUCGGGUUGUAAAGCCCUUUUGUUGGGAAAGAAAAGCACUUGGUUAAUACCCUUGUGUUCUGACGGUACCCAAAGGAUAAGCACCGGCUAACUUCGUGCCAGCCGCCGCCAUAA
rnacentral:rRNA from 1 species